AGGCCCAGGUGGAACAGCCAAUCGCGGCAGGGAGGAGGGGCUUAGGCAGCUACGGAGACUGCAGGUUCAGAUGAAGGAGGUGCUUCGUGAGCUGGAUGAGUCCAAGCUGCCCGUGACGAGGUGGUCGUCCAAUCAAAAAGCACAGAGAAGCGCCUGCAGACCUUGGAGGCGGAGUUACUGCAGCUUACAGAGGAUUUAUCAGUGUCUGAGAAGAUGAGGAGACAGGCCAGCAGGAGAGAGAUGAGAUGGCUGAUGAGAUCGUCAACAGCUCUACGGGAAGU